GCCGGGGUAGCCUAGCCUGGUUUGGGCGCCAGACUCAUAAUCUGGAGGUCGCGAGUUCGAAUCCCGCCCCCGGCA
rnacentral:tRNA from 1 species